UACGUAGGGACCAAGCGUUGUUCGGAUUUACUGGGCGUAAAGGGCGCGUAGGCGGCGUGGUAAGUCACUUGUGAAAUCUCUGAGCUUAACUCAGAACGGUCAAGUGAUACUGCUGUGCUAGAGUGCGGAAGGGGCAAUCGGAAUUCUUGGUGUAGCGGUGAAAUGCGUAGAUAUGCGGGAGGAACACCGAUGGCGAAGGCAAUCCCCUGGGCCUGCACUGACGCUCAUGCACGAAAGCGUGGGGAGCAACAGGA
rnacentral:rRNA from 1 species